rnacentral:rRNA from 1 species
GACGAACGCUGGCGGCGUGCUUAACACAUGCAAGUCGAACGGAAAGGCCCUGCUUUUGUGGGGUGCUCGAGUGGCGAACGGGUGAGUAACACGUGAGUAACCUGCCCUUGACUUUGGGAUAACUUCAGGAAACUGGGGCUAAUACCGGAUAGGAGCUCCUGCUGCAUGGUGGGGGUUGGAAAGUUUCGGCGGUUGGGGAUGGACUCGCGGCUUAUCAGCUUGUUGGUGGGGUAGUGGCUUACCAAGGCUUUGACGGGUAGCCGGCCUGAGAGGGUGACCGGCCACAUGGGGACUGAGAUACGGCCCAGACUCCUACGGGAGGCAGCAGUGGGGAAUAUUGCACAAUGGGCGGAAGCCUGAUGCAGCAACGCCGCGUGCGGGAUGACGGCCUUCGGGUUGUAAACCGCUUUCGCCUGUGACGAAGCGUGAGUGACGGUAAUGGGUAAAGAAGCACCGGCUAACUACAUG